AAGAGGGGAAUCGCACAAGCGGAGGGGNAUAUGGUUUAACGCGAUACAACAGAAGAACCUUACCAAACCAUGACAUACGAGAAACUUUCCAGAGAAGGAAGGGUUCGUUCGGGAAUAUUCGGACAGGUGGUGCAAAGCUGAAUGCAGGUAGUGUCGUGAGGUGUGGGGUUAAGUCCCGCUGCGAGAGCGAACAUUUUCAUACUUGCCAACAUUUCGGAUGUGAAGUUUAAGGACAUUGUCAAAGACAAACUGGAGGAAAACGGGGACGAAGUCAAAUCAUCAUUGCCCUUAAGGCCAAGGGUACACACGUGCAACAAUGGUCGGAACGAAGGGUUGGUGCCUAGCGAUAGGAUGAUAAUCUUAAUAAGUCUAGGUAGAUCGGAUUGGAGUCUGUNUG
rnacentral:rRNA from 1 species